rnacentral:lncRNA from 1 species
AUGCUGCCUGAAAGAAGUACACAGCUUCUCUUUUUCCAUCACUAACUCAUAAAUGGAAGGAGCAGGUAAUAAAUAUCAUGGGGCUGAUGGGUUUCCAGGGAGCCUGAGAAAGAGUGAAGGAGGCUGCCGGAAAGCCAGAGCAGUGUGUGAAUGAACCUUAAAACUGUGACCGCCUCCCCCUUGUGCAGCCACGGGAGUAGGAUGACCCCCAGUUGACUGAGAAAAGACGGAGCACAGAUGGGAGUGGCAUCCUACAAGAUCCCCAGCUCAGCGCUCACUUUUGUAGUGAAGACAUGCUUUAAAAUCAUCGAGUGUGCCUGCCUUUGAGAUUUGCAAGAGGAAGCAAAGAGCACGUUAAUGAAACUUGGGAGGAAACUGAAUUUAGAGCUGCUGCAAACACAGAAGUAAUGAAAGCAAACAUAAAGAUGUUAGAAGUGUGGUCAGGAAAUUAAAAAAAAAAGAGCUACAGCUUGGAAAAUAGGUGAUUAAUGAGGAAUAUUGUUAAGAUGGAAUCAAAGUGUAAGAUGGAUGGGGAGAUGGGGGCAUUGUUAAGUUCGUGUUUUCCUGAGAAGGUGGGUUUUGUCACCUGGCACUGAACACACUUUCACACAUGAUUGAUAAACACUGUUGAGAACAAUUGCAAAUUACAGAUUUUGAACAUUCGCAAAGACUGAUUUGCUCCAGGACUGUCUAGAACCACAUUCCCAGAAGUGUAUUCUGGGAGCAUUAGUCCUACCAGAUGCUCUACCAAAUAAAGGACUCUUGGCCAAGCAAGAUUUAGGAGUGUUGCUUACUCUGCCCUUUCCUAGUGAAAUUGCCUUUGCAAAGAUUAUGACAGUGAGAGAAAUCUCA